rnacentral:rRNA from 1 species
CAAUAGCGUAUAUUAAAGUUGUUGCAGUUAAAAAGCUCGUAGUUGGAUUUCUGGUAGGAGCGACCGUGCCGAACUUGAUUGUUCGAGUAUUGUGUUGUCUUCAGCCAUCCUCGUGGAGAACUUUUCUAACAUUAACUUGUUGGGAUUGGGACCCGCGUCGUUUACUGUGAAAAAAUUAGAGUGUUUAAAGCAGGCAUUAGCUUGAAUACAUUAGCAUGGAAUAAUAAGAUAGGACUUUGGUACUAUUUUGUUGGUUUGCAUACCAAAUUAAUGAUCAACAGGAACAGUUUGAGGAUAUUCGUAUUAACAUGUCAGAGGUGAAAUUCUUGGAUUUUGAUCAGACGAACUACUGCGAAAGCAUUUAUCAAGGAUGUUUUCAUUAA